GGGGACGGUGAGCCAUGCUGCUAUGAAGGCUUCUGGCAUGGGCGCUCUCUCUAGCCGCCAAGCCUGGCUGGGGCCUGGGCUCCCCACCUGCCUGCAGGUCUGUGUGGUAAGACAGGGCCCAGGCACGAAGACAGCCUGUUUCCUGCAAACCUCCCCCAUCAGCACCUUGGCCAGUGCCCACCUUGCUGGAGGCUGAGCCUGUGGGGCGGAGGACUCCUGGGUGUGGGUUGAGGUGUGGGUGUGAGCUGCUAAAGAGGCUUAUGGGAGGGGACAGAGGAGGAGCUAAACAGGGCCGGGCGGCUGGUCAGGCUGCUUCAGAGGACACAGCUCACUUCUCAGGCUGGCAAGGGCACUGUCCUGGACCCUGCUGUGCUGGGCAUGCACCCUGCCUGGCCCUCACACCUCCCAUCUCUGGAGAGUUGGGGGGGGUGCGUUAUACGUUGCCCCCAACUCCUGCCCCAGCUCCAUGGCCCACUUCCAAGAUGGGGGCCUAAGCAGGAAGAGGGCAAGAGGCUCCGACCAGCUGGGACAAGUGCUGGUGUCUGGACUCCAAGGCUGGCUUGGCCCCUUCUUCUGGCUCCCCGAGGGAAUGGUAAGAGAGAGCAUUCAGAGAGGUCACCUGCCUACGCCACUCCCUUUGGUGACUCUGCUAUCCUAAGAAGACUGGAGGCAGAGCCACAGUCCAGCACUCCAGGGAGCACUGAAAGCCAGCCCCAAGGGCACAAGCAGUCCAAUGGAACUGGGCUGAGAGCCCAGGUUGGGACCUGUCCGGUGUACUUCCUUGUUCUCUAAUGAACGUGAGCACGCGUCCAAAGCAAUCCAACAUCGACGGGGAAGCCAAUCAGAAGGAGGAGGACUGGUUGGGUUGGACCCUAAAACACAUUAUAUUCUUAAGAUCACAAUGAGUAACACAGUUUGUGCACAGUCAGGUGUUGGGGUGGGGGCGUCCAGAAAGAGGCUCAAAUACAAAUAUGAGAAGGGAACAGGUCACAUGCAAGAAGAAAAGAUGAAUUAUUCAGCAAAUAAUUCAAAACAUACAAUCAACCCAGCGUCUCAGGACAACUAAAUUGACAUUUAAGGGAGACUUUCAGAUUUCUGCCUCACUCCUUGACACUAAAAUGAAUUCUGAAUAGACCAAAGAUUUAAGAAGUAAAAAUGAAACCGUAAAACUACUAGAAGAAAGCGUAGGGUUAAAAAAAAAAUCCAUAAUCUUGAAUCAUUCUAAGAAUUAUA